CUAACUCCGUGCCAGCAGCCGCGGUAAUACGGAGGGUGCGAGCGUUAAUCGGAAUUACUGGGCGUAAAAGCGCAUGCAGGUGGUUUGUUAAGUCAGAUGUGAAAGCCCGGGGCUCAACCUCGGAAUUGCAUUUGAAACUGGCAAACUAGAGUACUGUAGAGGGGGGUAGAAUUUCAGGUGUAGCGGUGAAAUGCGUAGAGAUCUGAAGGAAUACCGGUGGCGAAGGCGGCCCCCUGGACAGAUACUGACACUCAGAUGCGAAAGCGUGGGGAGCAAACAGGAUUAGAUACCCUGGUAG
rnacentral:rRNA from 1 species